rnacentral:rRNA from 1 species
GCUGAAAAUUUAGCCUUCUCUAAACAACCCACACCUCACCACGAACUAAAAUAUUUUAUUAUUUAAGUAAAGAUGAUUAAAAAAUUAACAAGAGCUAUGCCGAGUACCGCAAGGGAAAAAUGAAAUAAAAUGAAACAUUAUUAAGCACAAAAAAGUAAAGACUACAACUUGUACCUUUUGCAUCAUGGUUUAACUAGUAAACCCAAGCAAAAAGACUUUUAGUUUGCCCCCCCGAAACUGAGUGAGCUACUUCAGGGCAGCUUAACGAGCAAACCCAUCCCUGUUGCAAAAGGGUGGGAAGACCUUGCAGUAGAGGUGAUAUGCCUAACGAACUCAGUGAUAGCUGGUUACUCAAGAAAAGAAUCUUAGUCCAACCUAAAGUCACCCACUCCUCAAUGAAGAAAACCUACUUUAGAGCAAUUCAAAUAGGGUACAGCCUAUUUGAUACAGGACACAACCUCACAUAACGGCUAAUCCAUGUACAGUUAAAUUAAGUAGGCCUAAAAGCAGCCAUCUUAAAAGAGCGUCAAAGCCUGGUUUUAAUUUCACUUGAUCCCACAACCUAUAUAGAACCCUUUAUCAAUAUUGAGUAAUUCUAUACCACUAUAGAAAUUUUUAUGUUAAAACUAGUAACAAGAAGACACUUCUCUUUUAAUGCAAACGUAAAUUAAAUUAGACAAUUAUACAUUUCAGCAGAAAAUAAAAACUACGGAAACCCUGCCUUUUCUAAUGUUAGACUAACACAAGAGCAUUUUAAGAAAGAUUAAAAGAAAAAGAAGGAACUCGGCAAAUACUGAUUCCGCCUGUUUAUCAAAAACAUCGCCUCUUGAAAAAAUAUAAGAGGUCUAGCCUGCCCAGUGACAUCAGUUCAACGGCCGCGGUAUCCUGACCGUGCAAAGGUAGCGUAAUCACUUGUUUUUUAAAUAAAGACUAGUAUGAAAGGCAUCACGAGAAUCAAACUGUCUCCUUUUUUCAAUCUGUGAAACUAAUCUCCCCGUGAAAAAGCGGGGAUUAUUAUAUAAGACGAGAAGACCCUAUGGAGCUUUAGACAAAGUAAUAAAUACCCUCUUUUCUUUUCCCCCGGGGCCUACUUAUAGGUGCCUUAUUACCCAGUCUUCGGUUGGGGCGACCAUGGAGCAAAACCCACCCUCCAUGUUGAAUAGGACCUCCUUAAAUAAAGAGCUACAGCUCUAUCUAUCAACAAAUUGACAACACUUGACCCAAUUUUUGAUCAACGAAACAAGUUACCCUAGGGAUAACAGCGCAAUCCACUUCAAGAGCCCUUAUCAACAAGUGGGUUUACGACCUCGAUGUUGGAUUAGGGUACCCCAGUGGUGUAACCGCUACUAAAGGUUUGUUUGUUCAACAAUUAAAACCCU